AGCAGCCGCGGUAAUUCCAGCUCCAAUAGCGUAUAUUAAAGUUGUUGCAGUUAAAAAGCUCGUAGUUGAAUUUCGGGAUUGGCGCAUCGGUCGUGCCUCACGGGGUAUGAACUGGUGCAGUCAAUUUCUCACCUUCUGGAGAACCGCGAUGUCCUUAAUUGGAUGCCGCGGGGAACCAGGACCUUUACUUUGAAAAAAUUAGAGUGUUUAAAGCAGGCAUUUUUGCUUGAAUACAUUAGCAUGGAAUAAUAAAAUAGGACGGCAUGGUUCUAUUUUGUUGGUUUCUAGGACCACCGUAAUGAUUAAUAGGGAUAGUUGGGGGCAUUAGUAUUCAAUUGUCAGAGGUGAAAUUCUUGGAUUUAUUGAAGACUAACUACUGCGAAAGCAUUUGCCAAGGAUGUUUUCAUUAAUCAAGAACGAAAGUUAGGGGAUCGAAGACGAUCAGAUACC
rnacentral:ncRNA from 3 species